CUCAAGGCACGAUGCUCACAGACCUACAUUGCCUGGCAACAGGAGAGAGCUCUCACCCCAUUUCUAUUAGGUGCAUAAAAGAGUAAGUGCUGAGUGAGUUGGCAGAGAUCUGGCAGCCUGAAGACUUCGAACGAUGAAGUGGAAUUUGUCCGAACUGGCUAUGGGAAGGAUAUGGUCAAAGUACUCCAUAUUCAGAGGAAUGGAAAAUACCACAGCAUCAAAGAGGUGGUAACUUCGGUGCAGCUGACUCUGAGAUCCAAAAAGGAUUACCUCCAUGGUGAUAACUCUGACAUCAUCCCUACAGACACCAUCAAGAACACAGUGCAUGUCCUGGCAAAGCUCAAAGGGAUAAAAAGCAUAGAGACGUUUGCUAUGAACAUCUGUGAGCACUUCCUUUCUUCUUUUAACCACGUCACCCGAGCCCACGUCUACGUGGAAGAGGUCCCCUGGAAGCGUUUUGAAAAGAAUGGACUCAAGCAUGUCCAUGCUUUCAUUCACGCCCCCACCGGGACACACUUCUGUGAGGUGGAGCAGAUGAGGAGUGGACCUCCAGUCAUUCACUCUGGAAUCAAAGACCUCAAGGUCUUGAAAACAACCCAGUCUGGAUUUGAAGGAUUCAUCAAGGACCAGUUUACCACGCUCCCCGAAGUGAAGGACCGAUGCUUUGCGACUCAAGUGUACUGCAAGUGGCGUUACCACAGAAGGGACGUGGACUUUGAGGCUACAUGGGGCACCGUCCGGGACAUUGUCCUGAAGAAAUUUGCUGGGCCCUAUGACAAAGGCGAAUACUCCCCUUCAGUGCAGAAGACACUCUACGAUAUACAAGUGAUGUCCCUGAACCAGGUUCCUGAGAUAGAAGACAUGGAAAUCAGCCUGCCAAACAUUCACUACUUUAACAUCGACAUGUCCAAAAUGGGGCUGAUCAACAAGGAAGAGCCACGACAAAGAACCCAGUUGAACUUUGAAACAAGUAUGCUCCAACAUGUCUGCAACCAGACUCACGCCAGCAUAUGGGAUUGAGUAAAGGGCUGUUGCAGCUCAGAACCUGCUGGAAGGAAAAUGAGAAUCUUGGAUUUCAAAUAGCUGAGUUCAGAUCUCAGACAGCCAUUUGUGGCCAUGUGGCUUGAGACUGAAUGGAAUGCCUACUUCCAGUCAAGUGGAAUAAUGGAGGCCAAGCUCACUCUUCUACUCUCAUAAGACAACUGAACAAGCAGACAAAAAUAUAUAAAAUAAUAUGGCACUCAAAACAUUGGUCAUAGUCACUAAAGGAUCAGGACCCUGAAAGAAGGAAAAAAAAAAGGUAGGUCCUGGAGAAGGUCUUCAGCAUGCACUCGGGACAGUUAGGAGGAGACAUGUAGAGACCAACUCAAAAGGGUGUCCCUGGAGUGUUCAGCAGAAUUCUCAUCAGCAUCUUCGUAGAACUUUCUGAGGCUGGGGCAAAAAAAUUACCCAGAAGUACUAGAGGGGAAAAAAAUCAUCAGACAUCAUGCAUGGGCAAGAAUAGUGCCUUUUUCACCUGUCAGAAAGGAAAAUCUCAUAAUGCAGGAGCACUGGAAUAGUAAAAAGGAGAGUCUUGCUUCAGUAAAAGGCCAGGAAACAGCCCUAGAUCAGUGCAGCUUUGGUUUUAUGAGCCUGGCUCAUAAAACUUAAAAGAGAGACUUGAAAGGAUAGACAGUUUCUAAGAAAAUAGCACCCAGGAACCUACAUCAAGCAAUUAUAGAAAUAUAAGAAAAAUCCAGCACUGAAAAGAGUAAAAUUCACACUGCCUACCAUCCAAUCAAAAAUUAUCAAACAUCAGCCACUUAAAAUUGAGAAAUUAAUUCAAAUGAUUAAAGUUUUAUGUCUAUAAUCUGCAUAUCAGAAAGCUAGAGAAAAGAUUAAAUAUGUUAAGACAUGGAACACGAACACACACACACACACACACACACACCUACCUCCAAGGUUAACUUUUAGAGAUGAUGAGUAUUUUUUUCUGAAAUAAAAAUAUACAUGGAUAUUUUAAACAAGAGAUUAGAAUUUUAAGAGACAAGAUUAAGUAAAAUUAAAUAUGCAGCAACAGGAGCUAUUCAGAAUGAAACAGAGAAAAACACUUAAAAAUGAACAGAGCAUCAGGGAAUUUUGGGAAAAUAUCAAGUAGUCAAACACAUACACAAACGGAAAAGGGUCAUGUUUUGGAAUAAUAAUGGCUAAAUAUCUUUUCAAAUGUGAUGAAAACUAGACUCACAGAUCUAAAAAACAAAACAUAGCCCAAGUACAAGAAGCAUAAUGUCACAUCAAGCCUCAUAAUCAAAGCAGAACACAAAUUAAAAAAAUCUUAAGAGCAGGUGAAAGGAUAAAAGGACACCUGCACAUGGGAUAAAAAGGGUGAGAGACAAAGGAAAGAAUAAAACAAGGAUGUCUGCUUGUAUCACAGUUUUCAGUGUUCUGCCAGAGAAUGUACUUAACAAAAUGGAAGGAAAUACAAACAAACAACAUCAAAAUCGAAGAAAAUAAGUAAAACCAUAUUUAAGGACAAAGAAUGAUAGUCCAGAUUUUAAAAUAUUGUGGACUCUCCUAAAGAAGUGAUUAGAAGUAAGUCUAAUGAAGUUGUAGAAAAUAAGACCAUGUACAGAAUCAACUCUAGCUCUAUACAGUAAUAACAAAUCACUGGAAAUUCAAACCAUCAUAGCAUAAAAAACAAGAAAUAUCAACAGACACACCAAGUGAAAGUGUUUAAGAGCAACAUUCAGAAAUCCAGACACACUGUGAAGAGACAUUAAGGACCAGGUAAACGAGGAGACACACUGUCCUCACUGUGUCCCUUCUUCCCAACCAACUCAUACAAAUGCUAAUUCAAAUGUCAUUAGGUUUGCCAAUGGAAAUAUCACCAGGUCCGUCCGUCCUUCCUUCCUUCCUUCCUUCCUUCCUUCCUU